GCAUGGAGCGCCUGCAUCGGCCGCAGGGAGCCGGACGACGGCAUGUCCCGGAGCCGGCCGCUCUGCCACGCCGCGGCCGCGCCCUCUGCUGCUUGCCUCGGCUGGUACUGGGAGAAAUGGUACUGCCACAUCUGCUGCUGCUGCUGCGGAGUCGGCGCGAACUGCUGGAGCUUCAUGGCGGCCUGGCUCGCCGGCACGCCGGGGUGCGGCGCGUACCCCGGACCGCACAUGUACUGCUGCAUCUGCUGCUGGGCGACAUUGGCAAACAAGAUCUAAAACAUUGCGCAAAGAGAGAACCUGCUGGAUCGACAUCACGGGUGCCACAUUCCCUCUGCUACAAGGGAGAUGCGAAUACGACUGAUACGGCGCCGGACCGUGGUGAGUGGCGAUCAUCUGGGGAUGCAUAUACUGAACAUACUGUGGCCCCGAGAAUGCCGCCGAGGUGGGCAAGUUCAGGUAAUCAGUGCUGACCUGAAAGAAGCAGCAGGACAUGUCAAGCCUGAAGACAGAAUCACAGAAGAAACUGGGCUACUGGAGUAGCAGCAGUGCCAAUGGAAAGGCGGUUAUAAUCACAAACCAUUGCUUGCCGACCAGGAGCCAUGUCGCAAACCCCGAUAGAAGGCUGAACUGGGUUCCCCCCGUCGAAAUGCAUGCCAUUCUUAUUCAAGGUGGAGACGCUUGGAGAGCUUGAAAUGCGGCUGUGUGAUCUCUCCUGGGUGAUUACUUGAUUUUGUGACGCCUUAUCUUUGUCCAAAUGGUUUUGGAUGAGAUGACUCACAUAGGCAUGGGUAACACUUCUCUUCCAUGUCUUUGCAGAGCCACCAUUUUCAGGAAGGGAAAGCUGUGAAUAAAAAGGAUGCACUUGUCAGCUCAAAGGGUUCAAGCUCAACAUUUUGUUAUGUACAGGAAAAUCCUUUCAGGGGGAAGGCAGAACAAGGCAUCACCUUUCCGAGGGUCCUCGGCCUCUUCCUGAUGAUCAGGCUGCUGCUGCUGCUAGGAGUGGCGGAUCUGGUCAGUGAGGAGAGGACCGUAUCGUCGUCGUCGCGGCCUCCGUCGGAACCUUCUUCGGCCUCGCCGUUGCGAUGAUUGUUCAUGUCGCUGUUGGUUGAUCUCCACUUCAGGGGCUUGGGUUUCUUCCCUUUCUUACGCUUGAGUUCGGCGACGUGAUCCCCGCCCUCGCUCUCGUUCAUGUUGCUGUCUGGAAAUAGUGUUGAGAGGGGAACAGGCAUUAGAAAGGUAAUCUGAUGGAAUAGCCGUUGUCAAGCAUCAUGAUAUAGUGUUGUGAACUGCCGUACUUCUAGUACUUGAUUAAAUCCAUUAUUUCCCUUAAAAAA